rnacentral:rRNA from 1 species
UGGCGGCAGGCUUAACACAUGCAAGUCGAGCGGAGAGAGGUAGCUUGCUACUGAUCUUAGCGGCGGACGGGUGAGUAAUGCUUAGGAAUCUGCCUAUUAGUGGGGGACAACAUUUCGAAAGGAAUGCUAAUACCGCAUACGUCCUACGGGAGAAAGCAGGGGAUCUUCGGACCUUGCGCUAAUAGAUGAGCCUAAGUCGGAUUAGCUAGUUGGUGGGGUAAAGGCCUACCAAGGCGACGAUCUGUAGCGGGUCUGAGAGGAUGAUCCGCCACACUGGGACUGAGACACGGCCCAGACUCCUACGGGAGGCAGCAGUGGGGAAUAUUGGACAAUGGGCGCAAGCCUGAUCCAGCCAUGCCGCGUGUGUGAAGAAGGCCUUAUGGUUGUAAAGCACUUUAAGCGAGGAGGAGGCUACUUUAGUUAAUACCUAGAGAUAGUGGACGUUACUCGCAGAAUAAGCACCGGCUAACUCUGUGCCAGCAGCCGCGGUAAUACAGAGGGUGCAAGCGUUAAUCGGAUUUACUGGGCGUAAAGCGCGCGUAGGCGGCUAAUUAAGUCAAAUGUGAAAUCCCCGAGCUUAACUUGGGAAUUGCAUUCGAUACUGGUUAGCUAGAGUGUGGGAGAGGAUGGUAGAAUUCCAGGUGUAGCGGUGAAAUGCGUAGAGAUCUGGAGGAAUACCGAUGGCGAAGGCAGCCAUCUGGCCUAACACUGACGCUGAGGUGCGAAAGCAUGGGGAGCAAACAGGAUUAGAUACCCUGGUAGUCCAUGCCGUAAACGAUGUCUA